AAGAUGAGCAGUGUGAAAUUCUUGCAUGUCAUCAAUCAGAGUUUCUUCUCCAUGAUUUUACCCUUGCCUAUGCCCUUAUUGUCAUGUGACAGGAAAUCAAUGGUGAUGAAUAUCACCUGUUUCCUUUCUUCCUACAAUUAUCAAUACUUCAGAAGCUUUUAUAUAGGCAUUUACUAUUAAUAUAAACUUUUUUUUUAUUUUAUUUACUUUUUUUGUCCCCAUCAAUUGCUACGUUUUAUUACCCUAAAUUUUGAUGAGACUCCAA
rnacentral:misc_RNA from 1 species